rnacentral:misc_RNA from 1 species
AACCGCCGCCGAGGAGCAGCGCUGCGUCUCAGAGCUCCCCGGCGAGUCGUCCAUCACCAUCAAAAAGGCCGCACCACACUAAUCACAAGCAUCGAACUUCCUAAAGCGCUCUGGUCGCAGACUCGCAGUGGCCGCAGCUGCAGCGUCCCCUCCCUUUUCGCCAUCGAGCGUCAACUGUGCUGGCCGCCGGCGCGUAACUGCACCAGGGUCACUGCUUACGAGGAAGAGGAGGCACAACAGUGUUGUUGGGGUGUCUCGUCGUGCGGUGCCGGUGCCGGUGACCAUGGGCGUGCACGCCAGGGCGAUGAGCUGGUACACGAGCCCGCCGGGGUCGCCGGCGCCGGGGAGCGCCGCCGAGGCGGAGCACGCGCUGAGCAGCAGCCCCCGGGGCGGCGACACCAACAUGGUCAUCGUCCUCGCCGCGCUGCUGUUCGCGCUCCUCUUCGCGCUGGGCAUCAACUCGCUCGCGCGCUGCCUCAUCCGCUGGGCGCGCCGCGCGCCGGCAGCGGAGGGCGGCGGCGCCGGCGGGCUCGAGAAGCGCGUGCUCCGGAGCAUGCCCGUCGAGGUGUACGGCGCCGCGGCCGUCACCGUCGCCGACGUCUGCGCCAUCUGCCUCGGCGAGUUCGCGGACGGCGAGAAGGUGCGCGUGCUGCCGCGCUGCGCCCACGGCUUCCAUGUCCGCUGCGUCGACACCUGGCUCCUGUCGCACGACUCCUGCCCCACGUGCCGGGGCUCCGUGCUCGACGGCGCAAAGGCCGCCACUCCCGCCGGUGGGGGCAGCCGGUGGCAGGGCAGCGAGGCUGCUGCCAUCGCCGUUGUCAUUGGAUGACGUGGACAGGAAGGGCCCGCGUGCCCAUUGGUGGUGGUGGUGGAGCUAGGUCUGCAAUAAUACAGUUUAGUUCGGUUCGAUUUAGCACAAUUUUGGAGCAUUGAGCUGAGCACAUAUGGCCCGUAUUCUAAGAUGUACGGUGGACAUCUAUUUUGCAGGUCACUAGACGUUGAAAACCAUUUCCUUUCUUUUUUUCAUAUUAGAUACGUAUUAGUUUUAGUUUUUGGAUAUUGUAUUUGUCGACAGCUAUCUAGGCGCCAAACACCGGAGAUGAACCGCUUGUAGUGCUCUCUGUGGAGGUGCAGACGGUCCACAACACAGGACCAGACGAUCCACAAUCUGGGUGCAGGAGCGGUUCC